AGAGAAGGUUACAAGAGCGAACGGCGGAUGCCUAGGCUUCUGGAGGCGACGAAGGACGUGGUAAGCUGCGAAAAGCACCGGGGAACUGCAAACAGGUAUUGAUCCGGUGAUAUCCGAAUGGGGCAACCCGGCACAUUGAAGAUGUGCCACCAAUCAUAUUGGGGCAAACGGGGGGAACUGAAACAUCUCAUUACCCCCAGGAAGAGAAAGAAAUUAUCGAUUCCCUUAGUAGUGGCGAUCGAACGGGGAAGAGCCUAAACCGGUGUUGUUACGGCAUCACCGGGGUUGUAGGACCGGUCAUAAGAUUAUCUGAAUUGAACUGGAAUGUUCUGGAAAGUUCAAUCGCAGAGGGUGAUAAUCCCGUACAGGUAAGAUUUAGAUGACGAGACCGGCACCUGAGUAGGGCGGGACACGUGAAAUCCUGUCUGAAUCCGCGGGGACCAUCCCGCAAGGCUAAAUACUCCCAGAAGACCGAUAGUGUACCAGUACUGUGAAGGAAAGGUGGAAAGCACCCCGCGCAGGGGAGUGAAAUAGAACCUGAAACCGUUCGUUUACAAGCGGUCGGAGCUCUACGGAGCGACGGCGUGCCUUUUGCAUAAUGAGCCUACGAGUUGCUUCUGUCCGGCAAGGUUAAGUACUUCAGGUACGUAAGCCGAAGCGAGAGCGAGUCUGAAGAGGGCGUUCAGUCGGACGGAGCAGACGCGAAACCUAGUGAUCUACCCAUGGCCAGGCUGAAGUCUCCGUAACAGGAGAUGGAGGGCCGAACCGGUUUACGUUGAAAAGUGCUCGGAUGAGCUGUGGGUAGGGGUGAAAGGCUAAUCAAACUGGGAGAUAGCUCGUACUCCCCGAAAUGUCUUUAGGGACAGCCUCGACUUAGCUUCACGGAGGUAGAGCUACUGAUAGGAUGCGAGGGCUUCAUCGCCUAUCAAUUCCUGACAAACUCCGAAUGCCGUGAAGUGAUGGUCGGGAGUGAGUCGCCGGGUGCUAAUGUCCGGCGGCGAGAGGGAAACAGCCCAGACCUUCUGCUAAGGCCCCCAAGAGUGGUUUAAGUUGUUGGAACGAGGUGACAUCGCAGAGACAGCUAGGAUGUUAGCUUGGAAGCAGCUAUUCAUUUAAAGAGUGC
rnacentral:rRNA from 1 species